rnacentral:rRNA from 1 species
CAGUCGCCGCGGUAAUACGUAGGUGGCAAGCGUUGUCCGGAAUUAUUGGGCGUAAAGCGCGCGCAGGCGGCCUAUCCAGUCUGUCUUAAAAGUUCGGGGCUCAACCCCGUGAUGGGAUGGAAACUAGUAGGCUAGAGUAUCGGAGAGGAAAGCGGAAUUCCUAGUGUAGCGGUGAAAUGCGUAGAUAUUAGGAAGAACACCAGUGGCGAAGGCGACUCUCUGGUCUGUAACUGACGCUGAGGAGCGAAAGCGUGGGGAGCGAACAGGAUUAGAUACCCCUGUAGUCCCUGUCUCUUAUACA